AGAUUGAACGCUGGCGGCAGGCCUAACACAUGCAAGUCGAGCGGUAGAGAGGUGCUUGCACCUCUUGAGAGCGGCGGACGGGUGAGUAACGCCUAGGAAUCUGCCUAGUGGUGGGGGAUAACGUUCGGAAACGGACGCUAAUACCGCAUACGUCCUACGGGAGAAAGCGGGGGACCUUCGGGCCUCGCGCCAUUAGAUGAGCCUAGGUCGGAUUAGCUAGUUGGUGAGGUAAUGGCUCACCAAGGCGACGAUCCGUAACUGGUCUGAGAGGAUGAUCAGUCACACUGGGACUGAGACACGGUCCAGACUCCUACGGGAGCAGCAGUGGGAAUAUGGACAAUGGGCAAAGCCUGAUCCAGCCAUGCCGCGU
rnacentral:rRNA from 1 species